CAGUGGGGAAUUUUCCGCAAUGGGCGAAAGCCUGACGGAGCAACGCCGCGUGAGGGAGGAAGGUCUUUGGAUUGUAAACCUCUUUUCUCAAGGAAGAAGUUCUGACGGUACUUGAGGAAUCAGCCUCGGCUAACUCCGUGCCAGCAGCCGCGGUAAUACGGGGGAGGCAAGCGUUAUCCGGAAUUAUUGGGCGUAAAGCGUCCGCAGGUGGUCAGCCAAGUCUGCUGUCAAAUCAGGUUGCUUAACGACCUAAAGGCGGUGGAAACUGGCAGACUAGAGAGCAGUAGGGGUAGCAGGAAUUCCCAGUGUAGCGGUGAAAUGCGUAGAGAUUGGGAAGAACAUCGGUGGCGAAAGCGUGCUACUGGGCUGUAUCUGACACUCAGGGACGAAAGCUAGGGGAGCGAAAGGGAUUAGAUACCCGUGUAGUC
rnacentral:rRNA from 1 species